rnacentral:tRNA from 1 species
GCUUUAAUAGUUUAAAUAAAACGCUUGGUCCUGUAAACCAGAAUUGAAGUAAUUAGUUUCUAGAGCA